GAAAUCUGGUAUACAUUUUGAUAUUUGGGAACUCCAAUUUACAGCAAAAGCAGAAGCUGCUCCUAGAUCUGUUGUAUCACACUAACAUUUGAUCGUUAACUCUGAAAACUAUCGAAUAACAUAGGCUGUCUAUCAAACACUAAGAACGCAGUAAUGGCAUGGAGCAUAAAAUCCAGAUGCUGCAAUAAACUGAUGUAUAAGGGACAUAGAUCUGUUUCAAUUUUAUAAACUGAUAACACCAUAUAUAAUGAUAGAAGUUAAAUCCUGGUAUAUCAGGAGCAGAUAUUACAAUAUGUCAGAAUAUUUUUUUUAUGAAAAGAUAAAAGGUAUGGAGAUCAUCAUCAGAACACAAAUUUACAUCAUGUAGUUCUGAUUGAUAACCCCAACUUUUAAAUUUCUGCAAUCUAGUUUUACUCAAGUCAAAAAGAUUACAACUAGAAUAGCAAUUUAAUCACUCUACGAAAAGUUUUCAGCCAUAUACACUAGAUAAUAGAUACCAACAGGUCCAACACUACUAAGACACUCAGGGAAAGAGACCGUAGCCACGAAAUGUCCUCUCAAAUCCAUGAAACAGGCACUUCCUAGCUGAUGUUCUUGACACUUUCCUACUAACCAACUUGUCAUAUCAGAUGGUGAUCGUCGAUACUGGUAUAAUGGCUAAUAAACAUCUUAAUCUCAACAUUAGUGCUAAAUGACAAUAUCAUUGACCAUACAAGUCCCUACUAACAGUAUCAAUCUACAGGUCAAGAUCAGAAGGAAAGAAAAUCCUACAUAUAUGAUUAACUGAUUACUGCAGAUAGGACGCAUCAUUUGGAUGCUACGAUUCUUAGAGAAUCAAAUCAGAGCUAUAAAACACAAAUUUUCCAGAUUUUUGCUAGUGACAAAGUGCUUAUGUUCAACAUAUGCAUAGUAAUAUUGGCUGUAAAUGGAGUCUAAACUUGAUGACGUAUGCUCUUAAUAGGCACAGUAUAUCGCUGCCUUCAUCAAGCAACCUCAGAGCCACUCUAAAUGUGAAGCAGAGAGUGUGUAGAUUGGUAACUAAGGAAAUGGAAAGAAAUUAUGCCCAACUUCCAAGCUGGUGACGGUACCUCCAAACAACGGCAAAAGAAUUAAAGAAGAAUGGGAUUGUGACACUGAGCAAUGGGAAGAGAGGGAACAAAGUGAAGGAAUUUUUGUGCCAAAGAAAAUAAAUAGAGGAAUAGCAGGCCCUCUUCUUUAUGGAAUUAGGCCCUCAAAAUAUCAAAUAUACGUAUAGCCGUAUACAUAUGGUAAGGAAAGUGACUUAAAAGUACUGCAAUGGAGCAUGAUAGAGAACCCUACUAAAAUGAGCAUAACCUCAUUGUUUGACUCAAGCAAGAUCGUGAAGUCUUGGUACACAAUGACGUGUUCAGUCCCAAAUUGGCAAUAGCAUCAAACUUAUACCUCUGUAUCAAACAGCUGUACAUUAAUAAGUUGAGGAUAUCCUAGAAUUGUGUCUAGUCACCCUGAGAAGAAUGUGAUGAAAACAACUCGUGGCAUUAUAUGAUGAAGACCGACAUUAUAUGAUAAAAACCCAAGUUGAGCCAAGGCUGGAACUGCACCACCUGGUAAAUGGAAAAUCAAAGUUACUCAAGUUGAGAGUAAGGAUAGAAUUAAGACAAAUGAAGGCACCAAGCCACCAAGUGCAAAUAGUAAUAACUCAAGGAUGAACACAAACAGAAACACAAACCAAUCAUAACCAAGUUACCAAGGUUUAAUAAUGUUGGGACAAAGAAGGCAUGAACCCAAAGCCACUAGCCACUAGCCACCAGCUACCAGAAACAAUACAACCAUUAUCAAAGGGCUGAACACACCAACAAGAUUCAGAAUAGUAUAGCUGUCAUAGUGUCAUAUGCUACUCAAGUCAGCUAAAUUACAAGCAAAAUUUCGACCAACUUCCAAUGUAUUUUUUCAUCUAGCAACAAAAUCCAGAAGAGGUCCGAACUGAAUCCUUUUUAUCAACUGCAGAACUACUAUUUUAAAUCUUUGUCUUCUUUUCCUUGAGUGCAGGAUUACUACUUGCAGUUGAGAAUGUGGUUUUGUUGAAGGAAUCUGAUAUAAGGUAAAGCACUGGAUAGGGAUUUCAGGGAUAGCCUAUAGCUGGGAGAGAAAAUGGAAAAUGGUAGCUAGAUCUAUCAAAGGGAAAACAGCAGAGAAAACUCUCUACUUGGUCUUCCAAUUGGGCUUGUCUGACGUAUCAUUGUAUCAAAAGGUUUGGGGUGCACUGAGGCAAUCAAGACCCUUCAACACCUUUUGAUUAGCCCAUAAUUUAACACCAUUUAGUUGAAUAUUGGGAUGCAAUUGCAUGUUUUGCACUUGAAUCUCAUAUAUUUUGAUUACUUGUGUACAAUGUCACGAUUAUUCUGUGAUCUAGAUAAUUUUGAGCACCGAUAAAUGAAUA